UCUCUUCGGAGCAGGGAGACAGGUGGUGCAUGGUUGUCGUCAGCUCGUGUCGUGAGAUGUUGGGUUAAGUCCCGCAACCGAGCGCAACCCUUAUCCUUAGUUACCAGCGACGUAAAGGUGGGGAACUCUAGGGAGACCGCCGGGGACGACUCGGAGGAAGGUGGGGACGACGUCAAAUCAUCAUGCCCCUUAUGUCUUGGGCUACACACGUGCUACAAUGGCCGCAACAGAGGGAAGCGAGAGCGCAAGCUGGAAGCAAAACCCUAAAAAGCGGUCCCAGUUCGGAUUGUGGGCUGCAACCCGCCCACAUGAAGUCGGAGUUGCUAGUAAUCGCGAAUCAGCAUGUCGCGGUGAAUGCGUUCCCGGGCCUU
rnacentral:rRNA from 1 species